UACGUAGGGUGCGAGCGUUUGUCCGGAAUUAUUGGGCGUAAAGAGCUCGUAGGCGGUCUGUCGCGUCUGCUGUGAAAUCCCGAGGCUCAACCUCGGGCUUGCAGUGGGUACGGGCAGGCUAGAGUGCGGUAGGGGAGAAUGGAACUCCUGGUGUAGCGGUGGAAUGCGCAGAUAUCAGGAAGAACACCGAUGGCGAAGGCAGUUCUCUGGGCCGUAACUGACGCUGAGGAGCGAAAGCGUGGGGGAGCGAACAGG
rnacentral:rRNA from 1 species